AUUUAAUUAUUAGUGGACCAAACUAUUGCUUCAAACCAUAUUAUAACUCGUACAACCCUCUCCCCUCCCUUGUGCCGCGAUGAAUUCCACAACACCUAAAACCAUCAAGAAAAAUCGCCACCGCGCUGGGAAAA